rnacentral:rRNA from 1 species
CAGCCGCCGCGGGAAUACGAAGGGUGCAAGCGUUACUCGGAAUUACUGGGCGUAAAGCGUGCGUAGGUGGUGGUCUAAGUCUGUUGUGAAAGCCCUGGGCUCAACCUGGGAAUUGCAGUGGAUACUGGGUCACUAGAGUGUGGUAGAGGAUAGUGGAAUUUCCGGUGUAGCAGUGAAAUGCGUAGAGAUCGGAAGGAACAUCUGUGGCGAAGGCGACUAUCUGGGCCAACACUGACACUGAGGCACGAAAGCGUGGGGAGCAAACAGGAUUAGAUACCCCCGUAGUCCCUGUCUCUUAUAC